rnacentral:rRNA from 1 species
UACGUAGGGGGCAAGCGUUGUCCGGAUUUAUUGGGCGUAAAGAGCUCGUAGGCGGUUCCGUGAGUCGGCUGUGAAAUCUCCACGCUCAACGUGGAGGGGUCAGUCGAUACUGCGGUGACUCGAGUCCGGUAGGGGAGUGUGGAAUUCCCGGUGUAGCGGUGAAAUGCGCAGAGAUCGGGAGGAACACCGGUGGCGAAGGCGGCAUCCUGGACCGGUAUUGACGCUGAGGCGCGAAAGCCAGGGGAGCAAACGGG